GCAGCACAUACACGCCGAGCCACUGGCGCUAAGGUUGAGCUUUUCGAUAAGCAACACUACGCGCGGUGUGCCGUGGUCAGUUUGACCACCGGGUGGUUGCGGAAACGCGGCUACCUCCCGACUUUGGAAAGGUGUAGCACAUGCUAGUUGA
rnacentral:ncRNA from 2 species